rnacentral:rRNA from 1 species
GUAGGGAAUAUUGGUCAAUGGACGAAAGUCUGAACCAGCCAUUCCGCGUGCAGGAAGAAGAUUCUAUGGAUUGUAAACUGCUUUUAGCAGAGAAGAAACGCCUUCAUUGAUGAGGGUUUGACGGUAUCUGCGGAAUAAGCACCGGCUAACUCCGUGCCAGCAGCCGCGGUAAUACGGGGGGUGCAAGCGUUAUCCGGAAUCACUGGGUUUAAAGGGUGCGUAGGCGGGAAAUUAAGUCAGUGGUGAAAGUCUGUUGCUUAACGAUAGAAUUGCCGUUGAUACUGAUUUUCUUGAAUUGGGUUGAGGUUAGCGGAAUGUGACAUGUAGCGGUGAAAUGCAUAGAUAUGUCAUGGAACACCAAUUGCGAAGGCAGCUAGCUGGGCCUUGAUUGACGCUGAGGCACGAAAGCGUGGGUAGCGAACAGGAUUAGAAACCCUUGUAGUCC